CGGGAACUGGGGAUAAUACCUGAGAGUCCGGACGUACGGGAAUGUUGUCCGGAUGAAAGAUCCGUCGCUUCAGGAUGAGUCUGCGGCCGAUUAGGUUGUUGUUGGGGUUACGGCCCACCAAGCCUUUGAUCGGUACGGGUUGUGGGAGCAAGAGCCCGGAGAUGGAUUCUGAGACACGAAUCCAGGCCCUACGGGGCGCAGCAGGCGCGAAAACUUUACAAUGCGGGCAACCGUGAUAAGGAAACCCCGAGUGCCAGCAUAGGUUGGCUGUCCGCCAGUGUAAAAAACUGGGGAAGAAAGGGCCGGGCAAGACCGGUGCCAGCCGCCGCGGUAACA
rnacentral:rRNA from 1 species